GUUAGGAAUAUUGGACAAUGGGCGCAAGCCUGAUCCAGCCAUGCCGCGUGAGUGAUGAAGGCCUUCGGGUUGUAAAGCUCAUUAGUCCACGAAUAUAAUGACUGUAGUGGAAGAAUAAGCCCCGGCUAACUUCGUGCCAGCAGCCGCGGUAAUACGAAGGGGGCGAGCGUUAUUCGGAAUCACUGGGCGUAAAGCGUGCGUAGGCUGUUUUGUAAGUCAGAAGUGAAAGCCCAGGGCUUAACCCUGGAAUUGCUUUUGAAACUACAAGACUCGAAUUCGGGAGAGUAUAGCGGAAUUGUCAGUGUAGCAGUGGAAUGCGUAGAUAUUGACAGGAACACCAGUGGCGCAAGCGGCUAUCUGGACCGAUAUUGAAGCUGAGGCACGAAAGCGUGGGGAGCAAACAGGAUUAGAAACCCCGGUAGUCC
rnacentral:rRNA from 1 species